rnacentral:rRNA from 1 species
UACGUAGGGUGCAAGCGUUGUCCGGAAUUAUUGGGCGUAAAGAGCUCGUAGGCGGUUUGUCGCGUCGGCUGUGAAAACUCGGGGCUCAACCCCGAGCCUGCAGUCGAUACGGGCAAACUCGAGUGUGGUAGGGGAGACUGGAAUUCCUGGUGUAGCGGUGAAAUGCGCAGAUAUCAGGAGGAACACCGGCGGCGAAGGCGGGUCUCUGGGCCAUAACUGACGCUGAGGAGCGAAAGCGUGGGGAGCGAACAGG